rnacentral:rRNA from 1 species
UAUGGAGGGUGCAAGCGUUAUCCGGAUUUACUGGGUUUAAAGGGUGCGUAGGCGGGUAUGUAAGUCAGUGGUGAAAUCCCCGAGCUUAACUCGGGAACUGCCAUUGAUACUAUAUAUCUUGAAUAUUCUGGAGGUAUGCGGAAUAUGUCAUGUAGCGGUGAAAUGCUUAGAGAUGACAUAGAACACCUAUUGCGAAGGCAGCAUACUACGGAAAGAUUGACGCUGAGGCACGAAAGUGUGGGGAUCAAACAGG